AUACCUGCAAUAGUAAAACCUUUAUGUGUUACUAAACACAACAAUUUAAGAGGCUGGAGGCUCAUCAUUCCCACUUUUUUUCUUUUUGUAACCUCGCUUCUGCAGCUCUGCCCUCCAGUCAUCAUAAGACUGAGUUYCAGAUUUUUCGCAGUACCAGUUCCCAAAGUACUGUUUGUAGCUUCAGGAAGUUGCUGUGGUCCAGCCAUGGGUGGAUCUGGAGCUGGGAUACCCUGCAUCAAGAUGUUCUUCUCCAGUGAUCUGUAACGCCUGCUGUACCUGUGGAAACAUCAAKUAAAGAAGUUAAAAUAAAGAAAUUUAUGUAAACACA